rnacentral:rRNA from 1 species
CCAAUAGCGUAUAUUAAAGUUGUUGCAGUUAAAAAGCUCGUAGUUGAAUUUCGGGGUUAGUAGGUUGGUCAUGCCACUGGUAUGUACUGGUCUCACUGGUUCCUCCUUCCUGAUGAACCGUAAUGCCAUUAAUUUGGUGUUGCGGGGAGACUGGACUGUUACUUUGAAAAAAUUAGAGUGUUUAAAGCAGGCUAACGCUUGAAUACAUUAGCAUGGAAUAAUGAAAUAGGACGUUCGAUCCUAUUUUGUUGGUUUCUAGGAUUGACGUAAUGAUUAAUAGGGAUAGUUGGGGGCAUUAGUAUUCAAUUGUCAGAGGUGAAAUUCUUGGAUUUAUUGAAGACUAACUACUGCGAAAGCAUUUGCCAAGGAUGUUUUCAUUAAUCAAGAACGAAAGUUAGGGGAUCGAAGACGAUCAGAUACCGUCGUAGUCUUAACCAUAAACUAUGCCGACUAGGGAUCGGAUGAUGUUAAUUUUUUAAUGACUCAUUCGGCGCCUUACG